UACGUAGGGGGCGAGCGUUGUCCGGAAUCAUUGGGCGUAAAGCGCGUGUAGGCGGCCCGAUAAGUCCGCUGUGAAAGUCCAGGGCUCAACCCUGGGAUGCCGGUGGAUACUGUCGGGCUCGAGUCCGGAAGAGGAGUGUGGAAUUCCUGGUGUAGCGGUGAAAUGCGCAGAUAUCAGGAGGAACACCAAUGGCGAAGGCAGCACUCUGGGACGUGACUGACGCUGAGACGCGAAAGCGUGGGGAGCAAACAGG
rnacentral:rRNA from 1 species